rnacentral:lncRNA from 1 species
CCAAUUGUGAUUGUGAAUUCGACUACAUCUUAGUCCACUUACUUAAUUCAAAAGUUUGAAAAAAUAAAUCGUUCUGAGGAGGGCCCAUAUCCGGGUCGAAAUGUUAACUAAAAAUACGUUUUCUUAAUUGACUGAUCACCAAGACUCUAUAAUAGAUUACAUACGAGGUCGAGAAUUCUCAUUCAUCACGGAGUAUAAGAAUCA